AUAAGAUCCAAGUAUCCAACUACUUGUUCUUAAAUUUGUUUGUUGGAACUUGCAGGUCAAUUUAAUUAGUAUCGUUACCGUAAACUUGGACCAGCAACAAGUGGACACGAAUCACGAUGUGUCGCCUUCCUAUCAGUACCAGAAACGAAAAUCAAAAGGACUUGGCUUGGGUCGUGUUCCAGCUUGAAAACCAAACCUUCCAAUGGCGUAAAUUUGAGCUGAAUUUGGUUUCUUUGCUACCUGAAGAGCUCAAGAGUUACUUCAAAAUAGUCUUCCUAAUUCGAUGUGGGGUUCUCUUGUUUUUCUUUAUUGUAUCUUUUGAGUAAUAAACAAUUCACUUUUAUAUCAACUCACCACUUUUUUUUCUACAACUCAAAAACAGUCAAUCACUUCAAUAAGUUGUAAAAGGAGUGGGGUUGUAAAUGAACCAAACUGCUCAUAAAUAACUCGAGCUUAACUCAAUAAAAUAUUUGUUCAUGUUUAUUUA